GUGGGGGUGCCGGAGUCUGGUCACGGGCAGGACUUAAGAUCCUGUGGCUUAGUGCCUACGCAGGUUCAAAUCCUGUCCCCCACA
rnacentral:tRNA from 1 species